rnacentral:rRNA from 1 species
GCAAACCUCCUGGGAUUGGACGGAUGGCCUGCGGGUGGUAAACCUCUUUCGGCAGGAACGAAAUCGUGCGCUCUAAUAUUUCGCGUGGAUGACGGUACCUGAAGAAUAAGCACCGGCUAACUACGUGCCAGCAGCCGCGGUAAUACGUAGGGUGCGAGCGUUAAUCGGAAUUACUGGGCGUAAAGCGUGCGCAGGCGGUCGUGUAAGACAGGUGUGAAAUCCCCGGGCUUAACCUGGGAACUGCGCUUGUGACUGCACGGCUAGAGUAUGGCAGAGGGGGGUGGAAUUCCACGUGUAGCAGUGAAAUGCGUAGAUAUGUGGAGGAACACCGAUGGCGAAGGCAACCCCCUGGGCCAGUACUGACGCUCAUGCACGAAAGCGUGGGGAGCAAACAGGAUUAGAUACCCUGGUAGUCCACGCCCUAAACGAUGUCAACUGGGUGUUCGAUGACGAGACUCAUAGAAUACCGCCUAUAACGUGUUAAAUUCCCGCCUCUGGAGAAUACCCUCACAGUAUUAAACUCAAA